rnacentral:misc_RNA from 1 species
GAAAGACGGUCACUGGCAUCCAUUGUAAGUUAUGUUAUUGCACAAAUGUUGCUUGGUAAUACAUAAAUGGCCAUAAAAUACUACGAUUCAAAUAUUACUACUGACCCUAUUAUUUACUUCUAAAUCUUUCUAAUUUGGACUUGCACACCGUGCUAAAGUUGGAGGUAGAACUGUCUCUAGUAGGCUCAUUGAAAGUUCCUGACAAUAUAAUGUUUGUGUGAUAAAUAUCAUGCCUGGAUAAAUUGUAGCAGAAAGAAAAAUUUUGGAUUGGUGGUCCCAAUUCCCAAAAUGUUGUGGAGAGCCUUUGUUAUGUUUUAUGCAUUAUUAUUGAAGGAGGAUUACGCUAUAUUUGUUCUUGCGGAGGUAUAGAUCUCCCAUUUGUUUCUUGGUGAUAAGUAGGGUAACCUGUAGAAUCAAGUUUCUAAGAUAAUCCAUAUAGCAAUUUAUCAUUAGAGAUUGUUAUUGAGUGUGGAUUGAGAGGUUGGAAGGCUUCAUAGCUCCCAAAGUUAGGGUUUUCAUCUUAGGUAAAAUGGAAUAACUUGAAAGAUAAUUUGAAGUGAUUAACUGUGAAUCCUAGUCUUGUCCUUGAUCGAUUCUCAAUUAUUUCCCAUUCUCUUAAAUUCUUAGGCAUGUGAAUUUUCAUUUUACUUCCUGGUUAUGAUGGAUUUUUCCCUACUUCAAUUAGAAUUUGUUGAAAUCAUGUCCUUCUGAUGUGACUAUUUCGAUGAGUGAGCACCCACAUGCUGUAUUAGUAUAGUAAAGCAUUUCCGCGAUGCUUGAAAAAUUACAGAUGCUAGCAGCUCUUCGGAACUCA